rnacentral:rRNA from 1 species
UACGGAGGGGGCUAGCGUUGUUCGGAAUUACUGGGCGUAAAGCGCACGUAGGCGGCUUUGUAAGUUAGAGGUGAAAGCCCAGGGCUCAACCCUGGAAUUGCCUUUAAGACUGCAUCGCUUGAACAUCGGAGAGGUAAGUGGAAUUUACGGUGUAGCGGUGAAAUGCGUAGAUAUCGUAAGGAAGACCAGUGGCGAAGGCGGGUCUCUGGACAGUUCCUGACGCUGAGGCACGAAGGCCAGGGGAGCAAACGGG